rnacentral:rRNA from 1 species
AGAGUUUGAUCAUGGCUCAGGACGAACGCUGGCGGCGUGCUUAACACAUGCAAGUCACGGGGGCUCGCAAGGGCAACCGGCGAACGGGUGCGUAACACGUGAGGGACCUGCCUGGAAACGGGGGAUAGCCGGCCCAACGGCCGGGUAAUACCGCAUACGCUCUUUGGACGGCAUCGUCUGGAGAGGAAACCUCCGGGGUUUUCAGAGGGCCUCGCGGCCUAUCAGCUAGUUGGCGGGGUAACGGCCCACCAAGGCGACGACGGGUAGCUGGUCUGAGAGGAUGGCCAGCCACAUUGGGACUGAGAGACGGCCCAGACUCCUACGGGAGGCAGCAGUGGGGAAUCUUGCGCAAUGGCCGAAAGGCUGACGCAGCGACGCCGCGUGUGGGAGGAAGCUCUUCGGGGUGUAAACCACUGUUGCCCGGGACGAACGAGCGAUUUAGAUCGCUGUGACGGUACCGGGUGAGGAAGCACCGGCUAACUCUGUGCCAGCAGCCGCGGUAAUACAGAGGGCGCGAGCGUUGUCCGGAAUCACUGGGCGUAAAGGGCGCGUAGGCGGCUUGGUAAGGUUGCGGUGAAAGCCCGGGGCUCAACCCCGGGUCGGCCGUGGCAACUGCUGAGCUGGAGCACUGUAGAGGCAGGUGGAAUUCCGGGUGUAGCGGUGGAAUGCAGAGAUCCGGAAGAACACCGGUGGCGAAGGCGGCCUGCUGGGCAGUUGCUGACGCUGAGGCGCGACAGCGUGGGGAGCAAACAGGAUUAGAUACCCUAGUAGUCC